rnacentral:rRNA from 1 species
UACAGAGGUCUCAAGCGUUGUCCGGAUUCAUUGGGCGUAAAGGGUGCGUAGGCGGCGCGGUAAGUCGGGUGUGAAAUCUUGGAGCUUAACUCCGAAACUGCAUUCGAUACUGCCGUGCUUGAGGACUGGAGAGGAGACUGGAAUUUACGGUGUAGCGGUGAAAUGCGUAGAUAUCGUAAGGAAGACCAGUGGCGAAGGCGGGUCUCUGGACAGUUCCUGACGCUGAGGCACGAAGGCCAGGGGAGCAAACGGG